rnacentral:lncRNA from 1 species
AGAGAUUGCCAACUGUGAACUGAUUGGUUUAGUGUAUCUCUUUCUGUGUGUGUUUGUGACGGAGCACCGGCUCUGCAGUGAACAGUCAGAUCUGUGGUUGGGUCGUCUGACGAUUGUUCACACAGACUGGUAAGCUUUGUUACAAUUGUAACCUAAACAGACUCUUCCACUAAACACACUCUAACCACACAUAUGCUCUAACCAGUCUCACUAACUACUGUCAUUUUUGUUUUUCUGUGUGUGUUUGUGACGGAGCCCCAGCUCUGCAGUGAACAGUCAGAUCUGAGGUUGGGCCGCCUGAAGACUGUUUACAGACCAAGCACCAGCUCUGCAGCAAACAGUCAGAUCUGUGGUUGGGCCGUCUGUCUACUGUUUACACAGACUGGUGAGCUCUGAUACUAUGGUUACCUAAUUAGACUUUCUAACUAAACAUACUCUCUAACCACACAUACUCUAACCAGUCUCACUAACCACAGAUUCUCGUUCUAUUGUUCUUUUUACUCUUCUGUGUGUAUUUGUGACGGAGCCCCAGCUCUGCAGUGAACAGUCAGAUCUGUGGUUGGGUUGUCUGAUGAAUGCUUAGAGAAUGGUGAGCUCUGUUACAAUUGUUACCUAAUCAGACUACCCAACUAAACAGACUCUAUCAACACAUAUACUCUAACCAGUCUCACUAACCACAGAUUUCUCGUUCUAUUGUUCUUUUUAUUCUUCUGUGUGUGUUUGUGACGGAGCCCCAGCUCUGCAGUGAACAGUCAGAUCUGUGGUUGGGUCGUCUGUCCACUGUUCACACAGACUGGUAAGCUCUGUUACUAUGGUUACCUAAUUAGACUUUCUAACUAAACAGACUCUCUAACCACACAUACUCUAACCAGUCUCGUUAACCACCGAUUUCUCUUUCUAUUGUUCUUUUUUUUCCUGUGUGUUUGUGACGGAGCCCCAGCUCUGCAGUAAACAGUCAGAUCUGUGGUUGGGCCGUCUGAAGACGGUUUACAAAAACUGGUAAGCUCUGAUACUAUGGUUACCUAAUCAGACUCUCCAAGUUAACAAACUCUUUAACCACACAUAUACUCUAACCAGUCUCAUUAAUCACAGAUUUCUUUUUCUAAUGUUCUUUUUAUUCUGUGUGUAUUUGUGACGGAGCCCCAGCUCUGCAGUGAACAGUCAGAUCUGAGGUUGGGUCGUCUGUUUACUGUUCACACAGACUGGUAAGCUCUGUUACUAUGGUUUCCUAAUUAGACUUUCUAACUAAACAGACUCUACCAACACAUAUACUCUAACCAGUCUCGUUAACCACCGAUUUCUCUUUCUAUUGUUCUUUUUCUGUGUGUAUUUGUGACGGAGCCCCAGCUUUGUUGUGAACAGGGCAGAAGAGCUCCGCUCAGACCGGCU